CCACGUCCAUGCCGGCCAUUGACGUCAGUUCCUACGAACCCCAUAGGACGCCUUGUUCCCUGCAGAGCCCGCUGACCCUUCUACACCCAUCACCGUCAACAGAUCUGGAUGGGGCGUGAAUCAAUGCCUAUGUGGCAGGCUGAAGCAGCAACAAGGGCAAGAUCUGCUGAAACUCCUAGUGAGGCGCGAUUGAAUCUUUGUGUGCCUAGUGGAACUCUCUCUUCUUAUCUCUCUGGCUCAAGUCCAGAGAAGAUUCUUAAGUGGUGUGAUAGGCUGCAAGUGCUGAUUGCCAUAGCUAAGGCUGUUCAUUUCCUACAUACAGGAAUAAUUCCUGGUUCCUUAUAUAAUCGGCUAAAAUCUUCUAGUAUUUUGCUUGACGAAAACCUUAUGGCAAAGUUGAGCGACUAUGGGUUGUCCAUAAUCACAGAGGAGAUAUACAAACAUGAGGUAAUAGGAGAAUGGAAAAGAUACUUACAAAAUAACGCUGCAGAAAUGUAAGUCCCUACUGAACAAAAUUGUAGCUAAGUUUGAUUUCAAAUGCACAGUUAGAUAUAACAUUUAAUGAGGAGUUCAGCACUUCCAUUCACUUAUGCCAGCACACCAAGUGCAUUGAAAUAGGGGAAAAUAGCAAAUCUGCUUAUAAAGUUCAAACGUGUUAUUAUUAAUGCUGAGCCAAUUAAAAAAAUGUAACAUAUAUCUGUGUUUUUAGGAAAGUUUGGAGGAUGAUAUACACUCUUUUGGUUGAAUUCUAUUAUAAGUACUUAUGGGUCCAAAAUUACACGAAGGUGGCGGUCCUUUUGUUCUAAGGUCAUCUCCAGCAGAUGCUUUAAAAAUCUGUCCCCUAUAAUAUUAUUACAGCAUCCUCUAACAUUAUUAUAGUACUUCUUUUUUUUUAUCUCCAGCAAUUACUCUAUUUUUCACCUUCUAUUACUCCCCUUCUUUUUUCGGACCUACAGUCAUUCUCUCACUACAGUAAUGUAGCCCGUUCUGAGCUGCCACAAAUUUGCCAUCACGAGCGCUACAGUCCUGAGCUCCUGCAUUACUGUAGCACCUGAAAUUGGCUCCACUGGAGUGGGAUGCGGGCAGAUGGAUAGGUAAAAAGUACAAGUACAGGGAUACAGCUCGGUUUUGAGAGCUCCGCUGGAGUUGUCCUAAAUGAGCUGAUAUGUUCCCUUUCACAUUUGUACUAUAAGGUUUAUACUGGUGAUACCUGAUCGAGAUUUAGGUGAUGCUGAGAAGGUCGCUUAUUCACAAAAUGACUUUAAGCUAUUUAACUACUUGAAAUACCUAUUCUCCUUGUUGGGAUUUGACUUUAUUAUGUAUCGUUAUCCUUUUCCCCUUAUGAUUUAAAGUAGCACAUAUGUAAAAUACCUGUAAUCAUCUCGAGUUUGAUUUCACCAUUUUCCGAAAAAGGAUGAGGUAUAUGACUCGAUGCACAAAUAAUUAAACUGUUGUGCCAUUGACCCAUUUUGAGAUCUUUCAACAUUGCGGUUUGUGGGCAUUUAGAACAAUCGGACUUUUUUUUUUGUUUUUUAAACACACAUAAGUGACAGAUCUAGUCAAUAAUGACACAUGUUAGUGACGUGUUCGGAGUGAUAAAUAUGGUAUCCGUCACUAAUGAGUUUUUCUGAAAUAGUUUACGCCUAUUAUUGAACUUGCUCUUAAGCGUCGUCAUGCAUGUGACUGCGACUAGUCCUCAUGUUUCACAAUAGACGUAUCGGAAACAUUGUACACCAGGUGACUAAAAUAAUCUCCCCAUAUUUUGGUCAACGAGAGAUUGUGCAGUCACCAUGCCGAUGGGCUCACUGUGUACGAGUCUCAAAGUGAAUUGGAGAAGCGAGGCUCAAAGUCGCCAUGGUCCACUACCUCCGGCAACCCCUCUUUCCU